UGAGGAAUUUUGCGCAAUGGGAGCAAUCCUGACGCAGCAACGCCGCGUGGGUGAUGAAGGCCUUCGGGUCGUAAAGCCCUGUCAGGUGGGAAGAAUGUCCCGGGACUGAACAGGUUCCGGGAGUGACGGUACCACCAGAGGAAGCACCGGCUAACUCCGUGCCCGCAGCCGCGGUAAUACGGAGGGUGCAAGCGUUAUUCGGAAUUACUGGGCGUAAAGCGCGUGUAGGCGGUCAUGCAAGUCUGAGGUGAAAGCCCCGGGCGUAACCCGGGAAGUGCAGUGGAAACUGUGGGACGUGAGUACCGGAGAGGAUGGGGGAAUUCCCGGUGUAGAGGUGAAAGUCGUAGAGAUCGGGAGGAAUAUCAGUGGCGAAGGCGCCCAUCUGGACGGUAACUGACGCUGAGACGCGAAAGCGUGGGGAGCAAACA
rnacentral:rRNA from 1 species